CCAAUUCUGUUGGUGCAGAAUCCCGUCGAAGUCAGAGAAGCUAGAGCUGGGAUGACCGCGGCCGCUACCGGGACCUACAAAGAAAGUCUAAACCGGAGUUGGGGGGUGCUCCGGCAAGACCCUCCGACGCUCAAGUCAGUACUUUGCUUCAACAAAAAUGGAGUGCUCGAGCGAAAAUUUUAGCAGAAUUUCGAGAUAGAGUUUAGAGCUUAGAAAAGAAUGUAUCUAGGGGUCCUUAUUUNN
rnacentral:lncRNA from 1 species